UACGGGGGGGGUAAGCGUUGUUCGGAAUUACUGGGCGUAAAGGGCUCGUAGGCGGCCAACUAAGUCGGAUGUGAAAUCCCCAAGCUUAACUUGGGAACUGCAUCCGAUACUGGAUGGCUUGAAUCCGGGAGAGGGAUGCAGAAUUCCAGGUGUAGCGGUGAAAUGCGUAGAUAUCUGGAGGAAUACCGGUGGCGAAGGCGGCAUCCUGGACCGGCAUUGACGCUGAGGAGCGAAAGCUAGGGGAGCAAACGGG
rnacentral:rRNA from 1 species